UCAUCUGCACCAGGUCCUGCAGCAUCUCCACGUGUGCACAGUGAGAUUUACAGGUUUUCUGACUCAGCCUGCUGAAGCUGGGGAUGGCAGUGCUCAAGGUCGAGUGUUCCUGGGAUCAUGAUGGCCAAACCUCAUCAAUGCCCACUUCAGACUCUAAGGGAGUUUGGUGGGAGUGACAGCAUCUGUGGAGAUGAGCCACUCCUGGAAUUAAGUACAGUAGGAUAACCUUGCCAAAGAGGAAAGGAAUUUGGACAGACUUAACAUGCAGCCUGUACAGCUUCCAUGAGCUGGACACUAAAAUGAAGAGAGAGUUUAUUCAUUCCCAUCUCA
rnacentral:lncRNA from 1 species